UUUAAAUGUUUCCAGGAUAAGUGAUUUAAGGAGGAGUUACACCGAAGGAUGAAUAAUGAGAGGGGUGGACCAGUUCACUAGAGGAAAAAUCUAUGUACUCAAGAAAUCCCUUAACUUUGACAGCAUGGGAAGAAAUGAAAAGAUGUCUAAUCAAUUUUAAAUUGGCCAAACUAACAGGUUCAAACUUCACAGCGAGGAUAUGGAUACCAAAAUAAUGAAAAACGACCAAACUACAGGUUCAUCACCGCGCGGGCCUAGCAGGAAA